AUUCAUUCCACAUUCUCUAAGUGCCCAUGGUGACCCAGGAAUAACAGGAAUCUCAGGGUUCCAUAGCUGAGUAGAACAUGACUCCCAUCCUUAGAGACCCACCAUCCAGUAGAGGAGAAGGGUGUCUAGGCAGAAGACAAAGAGGAAAGGAAAAACUCAGUGCUGUUUCUUCAACUCAGCUUCUCCAUUUUUUAGAGAAGGGUUAAUGGAGGAAACAGAGAGAGACGAGAGACCAAAGUUUCCAGGGCCUUUGUCUUUAGAGCAAGGGUCUUAAACCUUAGAGAGCAAAAACUGACCCGGAAGACUUGUUGGAGGCAUAGCUUCCAGUUCAGCAAGCCUAUUUCAGCAGGUUGGAGAACCCCUGACUGCAACAUGUGCUGAUCUCCAAGGGUGAGGCUGGAUGAAGCCAAGGGCUGUGGAAAAGGAGACUGUUUCAUAGAACUUGACACCAUCUUUAGUAAUUUCCCUGGUUCUUGGGCAGCUCCUUUUGGCUGUGUCCCUACACUGCACAACCCUCCCAGCUAGUCUACUCCAGGGCAGCAUCCAGCUGGUGACCUGAGUGGGCAGCGGUGCACCAGUCUCCAUGAAGGUUGAGCUCGGAUGGCCAACAGCAGUUUCCACCUCAUGGUCUACAACUCUUCAUCCUGAUUGCAUGGAGAUUGGUCUCUCUCUUCAGCUGGAUUUAGGCUACCAUCUGAGCCCUGAGGUAUGUUUAGUCUGACCCUGGCACUCUUUGACUCUUCUACAGCAUCAGGCAUUCACCUGGUUCCUGGGUCUUUUGUGCUGUAGCCCUAUAGUUCUAGCUACUUUUGGAAAAAAUCUUUCUGGAGGCCCAAUGAGCUUGUCACAUCAGCCUGUCCAGAGGUAACGCACAUUUCCCUGCAAACAAGUGCCUCUCCCUUGCUGUCUUUAACUUAAUCAAGGCACAUAGCACCCUCUCCAACGCUGAGCAAGCUCAGAUCCUCCUGGUUUUCAUGGUGUCUUUCUUUUUCCUUAUUCCAUUGGUCUAAUCUGAUUGAAUUUAAAUUUUGUACAUUUUGCAUCAGUCAUUCUCUUGCAUGAAUCUCUUUCUCUUCCUCCCUUCUACUGUCACCAGCUCUUGUCCUCUUUUCUGGACUGCUAAAUAACCUCUUUAGUGGUGUACCUGUGGUCUUCCCUUCCCCUCCUCUAAAUCUAUUCUCUACUCAGUAUCAAAAAAGACUUAACCAGCAAUGAAUUCUUCCCACCCAACCCUUGACCCAUUGUCAUUCUCUGGCAUCAGAUCCUCACCAGCAGGGCAAAGUGCAACUGCGGCCAGCUCAUGCCUUCAAGAGAAGGACUGAAGGUCAUUGUGUGCCUGAACCAAGUAAGUCUAACUGCUCCUUCACUGGCUCACCCAAAACUAUAGGGGCUUUCUAAGACCACAUUCCCAUGGCUCUGGGAGUUCCUCCAAGCUUGAACUCUGGUCUAGUUUCCCCAGUUUAUAUCCUAUGCUUCAUACCAAGAUCUUCCCACUUUGCCUAUCCUAUAAGAAGUAGCGGCCAGGUUGAACUUUCUGAUGAGUUUUGGAGGUUGCUUCUUGGCUCACCCUUGGUACCUUGGUCUACUAGUCACAGGUAAGCUCCACAAAGUCUAGGUGACUGGGACACUGCAACCCAGUCCAGGCCCAACACUAUGGCCUUCUACUGGUUAGGCACAGGAUCCAGAUGAGACUUCUAGUGCCCAUAAUAAAGAUGAUGAGGUUUGCAAAUGUGAAGUUCGCUGGCAACUUCUUAUAGUUCGUAACAAAUAUUUAUAGUUUGCACAUUCAUUGAGUCAUCCAACAAGUAUUUAUAGAGACCACCAAGUACCAUAUACAUUCUAUAAUGUUAGGGAUAUAGCAGGGAGAAUGUCAGACAAGGUUUCUGCUCAUCAAAUCUGUAUUCUACUGUUGGAGGAAAAGAGAUAGCAUCAGUAAUUGUCAAUGAUCUUAAAUGUCUGAAGACAAUUAGCUGUAUAAGAUGUAAGUGACUGAGAGAGAAGGGCUAUUUUAGACAAAAUGCUCAAGGAAUUAGCUCUGGGAAUAUGACAAACAAAGAUCUGAAUGACAAGAAGAUAGUAUGCCAAUUUUGGUGGGCAGGGUACAGUGGGUAGA